ensembl:lncRNA Fc receptor-like protein 4
UCUCUUUCUCUUUCUCCUAGCAGUGAGCUGUCUGAGUGAAUUCUCCUUGCUCAUGUGAUGGAGGGGAGGGAACACAGUCAACUGGGGUUGAACAAGAGGAAGAGUCUGUUCCCUUCGUGGACAGUAACGGAAAGAGAGGCCAGCUCAUAUACCAAGGAGGACUGGUUCAGCAUGGAGUCCCCUUAUUUUCUGCCUCUGCUUGCAUCUCUACAGAUAUUUUUCCUGUGUGGGUCACCUGCAGACCUCCCUGCACCCCCCAAACUCUCUGUGAGCCCAGAGAAAAUGGAAUAUCUCAUCGGAGACACUGUUUCCUUCCAAUGUGUGGCUCCCACUUCAAAGGACAAGAUACAGAGCUUUCAGUUCUCAGGGACAGCUGGAUGGGCUGUGGACAUUCGGACCUCCAGGAAAGCCUACACCUACACCUUCAACAUCACAGGGCCAAAGGAUGGUGGGUCACACACAUGCAGAUAUACUGUGAUAAAUCGUCUCCUUAGAUCAGUCCAGUCUAAGGAAAGCAAAGCAAUCAUCAUCAGUGUCAAAGAGCCUCCUUUCGCUCCUGAACUGCGAGUGGAUCCUUCCUCUGCUGUGGUGACUGAAGGCUACCCCUUACGUUUCACCUGCAUUGCCUUCAGGGAUGACUCAAGGCUGAGAUUUCACUUCUACAGGGAUGGGGUUGAGAUUUCACCAGGACAGGGAGGCUCAGAGAUCACUGCCAUGAACCCUGGGAAUUUCACUGAGCUCCUGUUACCGCAGACUCCAAGGAGGUUCAGUGGGAAAUUCACUUGCGGAUUUGAGGAGGAUGUGGGCGGGACGUGGGUGCCAUCACCCCAGAGCAAGGUUCUGGAGGUCACUGUGAAGGAUCCCCCUGCUCAGCCAGAGCUGAUCUUGAACCCCCCCUCUGGAGAAGUGAGGGAAGGGGACCCCUUACUUAUCACUUGUGUAGCCUAUGGCAUUAGCAGCGAAUGGAAGUUUUACUUCUAUAAAGACGGGACAGAACAAUUCUCAGAGGCUUGCACAAGGAACCAUUCUUUCUUCAGCAUCCCAGCAGCUGAACCAACUGUGACAGGGCAAUUCACCUGCAGGUACGAGGAGAGAGUCAGUGGGAAGUGGAUCCCAUCACCCCUGAGCCAAGCAAUGAUGGUCACCAUGCAAGCCUCAUCUCUACCCAUCCCAUUGGUGACUGGAUGCGCAGCUGCUGCAGCUGUUAUAGUCCUGGUGUUGCUGCUGGCUGUCUGUAUCUGCCAGAGGAGGAGAGGCCGUGUUCACUGGAAGGGGCUCCACAACAAAGAUGACACAAGUGCUUAUCCUCUGGCCCUGGUCAGUUAAACUGGUAUUUGAUCUCAGGAGUGCCUGGCACAUAUCUUUGCUCAAAAAAUGCACUCAUUUUCAGCCUCUUCUCCACCUCAGUGGAGCAAAAAAGAAGACAAAAGGAAAGAAAAGGAUUGUUUCUAUUCUUCUUUGCUUUGAACAUUGAAGCCAGAGUUCACUUUGUAAAUGCCCCUGUCCAGCUGGUCAGUAAAUCUCUCUUCAAGUCCACCAAUGUUUCUUUCUCUCAUUCCCUUCCGCCAUCUUUCUCAGCCUGAUAGA